CUGGCUGAUGAGACUAAGGCGAAUGCGAUUCUGUGCUCUCUGGUCAUUGGCUUCUGUGUGCGGAGGUUUCAAAUGGGAUCUGAAAUCUUAGUGGGGUACCUGAGCUUGGCUCCCCACUGUAAGGCAGAUCAAUAGCACUGCUGGCCUUGCCUCCAUUUCUGCUGCUGCCUCCAGUUCCUGGCAGCUGCCUGCAGGGGGGCCCACAGGUGAGGACCAAAGUAAAACUGAGCACGAGCCACCUGAGCGCAACCUUGGAUCUGACA